AAAAAAAGGAAACAAAAAAAAAAGAACACGGCGACCGCUUGUAACCCUCCUUCGUUGAAAGCUACGGAGAGUCACGGAGAAGAAAAAAAAAGGAGCAAAGAAGAGUAUCAGAGAAGAAGGUCAUGAGAGGAGGGAGAACAGUGAAGAUUUCAAUCUAUAAUGUUGUUUUCGGAGAUGUUAUACUCUUAGAAUAGGUGACCAGGUCCCUGCGGAUGGAGUGCUAAUUAGUGGCCAUUCUCUUGCCAUUGAUGAAUCUAGCAUGACCUGUGAAAGCAAGAUUGUCCACAAGGAUCAAAAUCUCCUUUUCUAAUGUCUGGUUGUAAAGUAGCUGACGGAGUCGGUAAUAUGAUGACCUGUCUUUGGUCCUAUUGAUGUUAGAGUCACAUAGAAGAAGAGGAGCAAACAAGAAUAGCACGAAAGAAGCUACAAAGAAUGAAAAAGGAGAAGAAGGAAGCUUGAAACGCAAGAAACGAAGGAACAAGAAGAAGUAAGCAAAGAGAGACGUAGAAGAAGAAAGUCAACUUGAGAGCACAUUGGUUACAAACCAACGAGAAGUUGAGGACACCUAUUUUGUUGUUGUUUAAGUGCAUGUGUUGUAGUUAGUGAGCAACUACUAUAAGUAUGUGUGGUGUUAUAAGAAAGAUAAAUCCAAUUCUAA